AUUGAACGCUGGCGGCAUGCCUUACACAUGCAAGUCGAACGGUAACAGGUCUUCGGAUGCUGACGAGUGGCGAACGGGUGAGUAAUACGUCGGAACAUGCCCAGUCGUGGGGGAUAACACUUCGAAAGAAGUGCUAAUACCGCAUACGUCCUGAGGGAGAAAGCGGGGGAUCUUCGGACCUCGCGCGAUUGGAGUGGCCGAUGUCAGAUUAGCUAGUUGGUGGGGUAAAGGCCUACCAAGGCAACGAUCUGUAGCUGGUCUGAGAGGAUGAUCAGCCACACUGGGACUGAGACGCGGCCCAGACUCCUACGGGAGGCAGCAGUGGGGAAUUUUGGACAAUGGGCGCAAGCCUGAUCCAGCCAUGCCGCGUGUCUGAAGAAGGCCUUCGGGUUGUAAAGGACUUUUGUCCGGGAGCAAAUACCCAGUGCUAAUAACGCUGGGGGCUGAGAGUACCGGAAGAAUAAGCACCGGCUAACUACGUGCCAGCCGCCGCGGUAAAAC
rnacentral:rRNA from 1 species